rnacentral:lncRNA from 1 species
CAUUAAUCACUUAUAAAAUUAAGGAGGUGUAUCUAAUCCAUACUUAUAAAGACUUUUUAUUAGUGAGUGACUUUUAUAAAGUUGAAAAAUUCUUUAUAAAGUUAAUAAAAGUUCCUAGUAAAGAAAUUAAUAAUUACAAAAAACAAUUUGGUUAACAGGUUCUAGCCCAGUAUAAAAGGGCAUUAACUUGCAAGCUAGUUGGCUCAAGUUUG